CCUACGGGUGGCUGCAGUGGGGGAUAUUGCACAAUGGGGGAAACCCUGAUGCAGCGACGCCGCGUGAGUGAAGAAGUAUUUAGGUAUGUAAAGCUCUAUUUGCAGGGAAGUAAAUGACAGUACCUGACCAAGAAGCCCCGGCUAACUACGUGCCAGCAGCCGCGGUAAUACGUAGGGGGCAAGCGUUAUCCGGAUUUACUGGGUGUAAAGGGAGCGUAGGCGGUUAUGUAAGUCUGUAGUGAAAGCCCGGGGCCCAACCCCGAGACUGCAUUGGAAACUGUGUGACUUGAGUACAGGAGGGGCAGGCGGAAUUCCGGGUGUAGCGGUGAAAUGCGUAGAUAUCAGGAGGAACACCGGCGGCGAAGGCGGCCUGCUGGACUGAAACUGACGUUGAGGCUCGAAAGCGUGGGGAGCAAACAGGAUUAGAUACCCGUGUAGUC
rnacentral:rRNA from 1 species